UAUAUUGACCAGAUAUUCACGAUAUCGUCGACUUCAUAAGAUCUUGCUGUGUCAAAUCGCAUCAAUUUUACAGUGUCAAAUCACAUCUAUUUUACAGUCCUAUGUAUUCACCGGUUCCUUUUGCAAAUAAAAACCAGAAAACACAAAUAAAACAAAACCCAAAACGAUGUCAAAAUAGAUCUUUCUCCUGGGUUUCAAAGAAUUCGACAAUCCUUGCAAAAAAAAUGGAUGGAAAAUUCAUCUACUACACUGGGAAAAACAGGUUCGGAUACAUAUUGGGAGAGAGAAAGAAACAAGGGAAAUUUCCAAAUUGAUAUCUACUUUUGUUUCCUUUUAUGUUCUGCUCAAAUCAUUGUUACUUUCAUUGCUGUUAUCUUUCUUGAAGUCUUUCACAGGUAUUUGUUGACUUUGGAGUCUUCUCACUUGCAAAUAUUUUCCAUUUUAACUAAAAAAGAAGCUUUUUUUUUGGUCUCAUAUUCAUGCUUCUUUUGUGUUUGAUAUAAUGCUGCAAUGAUUUGUUUAAAAUUUUGGAGGCAUUAAAUGUUCAUAAACUUAUGAUAGGUAUUUAUUAACAAUCUAUGUUGAAAAACAAUUGGUAAAUGAAUCUGAUCAACUCUUUCUGUUUUUUGUUUUCUUGAUAUAUUGUUAUCAGAUCUAAUCACCUGUGUUUGAAAUGAAGUUAUUGUCUGUGAAGCAUUGUUGAUCAGAAGGUUUUGGAGAUUUCUCUGUAAAUUGCGAUCCUUUUGAUUUGUUUACUUCUGAUCCGACAACGACUGCUAUUUCUCAAAUCAUAGAUACCAUUGCCGUGCAUGACACCAUGAACACAGUUUCUCUUACGAGUGGAGAAGAGGGAGGUUGUGAUGGUUAAAGCAAGAAGAGGCAGUGUGAAUGGCAGUGAGUUGGAAGAAUGAGAAGGAGAAACCGCUAUCUCAAUUCACCAAUCUUCCAUUUGAACACGACAAUUCACACCCAGUUGAAGAUGGUUGUGAUGGAACAACAGUGCGUUCUCCCAAUUCUGACAAAUCAUCACAAAUAGUUAUUCCAUUUCAAACUCAAGGAGAUAGCCUUUCUAUGGGUUAGGAUCUGACAAAUUUCUCGUGGAGUCUCCUUACGUUGCAUGGGAACAAUAAUUUUGAUGUUUCUAGCAGUCCAGUAAAUGUUCCUCAAGUCAAGUGUGGUAUACCUUUGUUGAGAAGGAAGCUGGUAAUUAUCAAUGGAGUCAGGUGAUAAGAAUGAAUGCUCAUGAAGGUAUUAAGUACUGCUAUAACAGGCCUUGUUCAAUAUAUGUUGGUAAAGCACCGCAUGAAUAAAAAUUAAUGAAAAUGAGAUCCAAUAAGUUACUUCAGUUUAAUUUGUUUUUAAAAGUGAUCCUGUUUUGUUAAGUUUUGUUAUGUUGAGCUAAAGAAUGAAGGUGUGAUGAUGCAGCUCAACUGAAAAUGCUCAGGCGCGCUUAACCUAACUCAAACCAUAAGUAGCGCUUUCCUUCCACGAUUCAGCUCUGAUGAAAAGUUCUUCUAUUUUCAUCUGCAAGAAGUUUAGUUGAUUCGGCGGCCCAUUCUGCCACAAAUUCACUUCAUAGAACUGAUUGGCCCGAGGGUAUGAAAUUCCAUCAAUCUGCAAAAGUUCAUGAUAUUAUGCCAGUUGUGUUGUGUCCUGAGGAUGAUGGCUUUCGCAGGCUUUACUUUUCAACUAUCCUUAGUGAUCAUUGGAUUUCCCUCUCUCUGGCACAACAGUCAAGUCUUACUGUCUGUCAAUGUGUUGGGGUAAGUGGACAAGUAAAACGAAUCACCUCUGCGGACUCAAAUUUUUGCCGGUUUUGAGGGAAUCUCUUGGAACUUUGAUGAAACUCUGUAUAGUAUAUGUUGCUGAAGAGCCUUUCCUAGCAAAGCCUACAUUCAAUGAUUAGUGCUUAAGAAAAGUGGUUCUAUUGACUAAGAUUGCGGCAGCUUGAAAGAGGCAGCCUGCAAUAUUUGUCCUAAAAAUCACUAGGUUUUGUCCUUAAAGUUAAAUUUAAAAAAAUUUAAAAGUUUGGAACUGGAUUUAUCCGAUUUGGGACUGGGGUUGAACUGGAUGUAUCCGGUUAGGGAUAGGUUUGUUCAGGUAAAUAGUUUAAUAUCUUGUUUUUGGCUUUACUGCAAAAUAGGCGGUUGUGAUAACCUGGGAUAUGAAAAUAUUUGUACUUUGUCACCUUGAAGUUUCAAAACUUCAUUGUAACUUAAAUUUGGUAAUUUUAAUGUGUCUCCCAUCACUAUAUGUGCUUGAUUGAGAAUUUAGUCAGUAGAAUAAAACACUGGAGCGUAAACUUCUUGAGUUAUGCUGGCCGGCUUCAACUCAUAAGGAGUGUCCUAUUUGCAAAAACAAACUAUUGGUGGAGUUGCUUGCCCUUGCCCAAGACUAUAAUAAAGAAACUUAAUUUUAUUUGCGUACGUUUUUAUGGACAGGUCAAGGAGACAUGAAAAGCAAAUCCCACAUUGCUUGGAAGACUGUUUGUGCGCCAAAAAACAGGGGUGGUCUUAACAUGAUAUCGAUUGAAAAGUGGAAUCUUGAUUGAAAAGUGGAAUCAAAUUCAGCUGAUAAAACUUUUGUGGAACCUUAGCCAAAAGAGUGACAACUUGUGGGUGAAGUGGGUACAUACAUACUACAUCAAGAAGGAAACUGUCAUGACAGUUGGUAUUAAAACUGAGUGCUCUUGGAUUUUGAAAGCAAUCCUGAGCCAAAGGCAGAUUGUUCAAAAUAUGAACGGUUGGCAUGCUGUGUAGCAGAAAAUCAAAGUAAGGGAGAUCUACAAUGAAAUGCUCAGAUGAAAAGUUCUUGUAUUUUCAUCUGCAAGAAGUUUAGUUGAUUCGGCGGCCCAUUCUGCCACAAAUUCACUUCAUAGAACUGAUUGGCCCAAGGGUAUGAAAUUCCAUCAAUCUGCAAAAGUUCAUGAUAUUAUGCCAGUUGUGUUGUGUCCUGAGGAUGAUGGCUUUCGCAGGCUUUACUUUUCAACUAUCCUUAGUGAUCAUUGGAUUUCCCUCUGUCUGGCACAACAGUCAAGUCUUACUGUCUGUCAAUGUGUUGGGUGGACAAGUAAAACGAAUCACCUCUGCGGACUCAAAUUUUUCGUGGAGCCUCCUUACGUUGCACGGGAACAAUAUUUUUGCCGGUUUUGAGGGAAUCUCUUGAAACUUUGAUGAAACUCUGUAUAGUAUAUGUUGCUGAAGAGCCUUUCCUAGCAAAGCCUACAUCCAAUGAUUAGGGCUUAAGAAAAGUGGUUCUAUUGACUAAGCUUGCGGCAGCUUGAAAGGUCAAGGAGAACGGGGAAGAACAUAUGCGGGAAAGAGGCAGCCUGCAAUUUUUGAACUGGAUUUAUCCGGUGUGGGACAGGUUGAACUGGAUGUACCCGGUUAGGGAUAGGUUUGUUCAGGUCAAGGAGACAUGAAAAGCAAAUCCCACAUUGCUUGGAAGACUGUUUGUGCGCCAAAAAACAGGGGUGGUCUUAACAUGAUAUCGAUUGAAAAGUGGAAUCUUGAUUGAAAAGUGGAAUCAAGUUCAGCUGAUAAAACUUUUGUGGAACCUUAGCCAAAAGAGUGACAACUUGUGGGUGAAGUGGGUACAUACAUACUACAUCAAGAAGGAAACUGUCAUGACAGUUGGUAUUAAAACUGAGUGCUCUUGGAUUUUGAAAGCAAUCCUGAGCCAAAGGGCAGAUUGUUCAAAAUAUGAACUGUUGGCAUGCUGUGCAGCAGAAAAUCAAAGUAAGGGAGAUCUACAAUGAAAUGGUAGAGAUGCAACCAAAGGUUUUCAGUUUUAGUUAUAAUAUUUGUGUCAGGUUGAACUGGAUGUAUCUGGUUUGGGACAGGUUGAAAAGUGUCAGGCAGUCAUGAAAAGUAUCCGGUUUUAGCAUUGGUAAAUGUUUCAAAGUGAGAGUUUUCAAACGCAUUUCCAACCUUGUUUGUGUAUCACCACCAUUUGCAUUUAGACCUUGAGUUUCAAAGAUAACUUCCGAAGCAGGACAAUCAGUUAUAGACACUGUCAAACAGACUCAACAUUAGUAACAACAGCUGCAGGUGCACGAGGAGGAUGACCAUGGUGGUUUGCACCAUAGAUGUGUGGUCCAAGGAGUUUGUAGUGCCGGUGCAGAGCUUGUUCAUCUGAAGAGAAUUAUUUUUUUUUUGUUUAUUUUAAUUUUCAUCCUCCCUUCUUCCGUGUGUAUGAUAUAACACAGUAAAGAAAUAUAUAAGCAAGAAUAGUUAUGUAUGAAAUAUUAGCUAAAAUGAUUUCCUAGAGGAAAACAAAUGCAUAAUGCAUAGGGGUUAAUGCUUCAAGGUUCGCUUAGUCCUCCUUUCCUGUUAUUUUCAUAUGCCGUUUGAGUUUUUCCAAGGCUUAAAGUCUUGUAACACGAAUUUGAGUUCUUCCCUUUUGAAUGUUAGUUUCAAUGAGUUUUCUUGAUAUAUGUGUUCAUUUGAGAGUCAUUGUUAUUCUCAUCAAUUGGUUUUAUGCGGGUACUGGUUCUGAUACAUUUUGGUUGUCAAAUUAUAUUAAUAAAAAAAACAAUCCUCAUUCAACUGCUGCAUUUUCUUGUGUUAUGCUUUUUCUUGAUGUUUUAUCCAGACCUUGUGUAGUUAUCAUAUGCAUUAUCUAUAUGUUUUUAUCCAAACCUUGACAAUUAAUCUUUGCAACAGAGUAUUAGUUCAUUACAGGAGAGUUGCAAUGUUGCUGCUCACGUCAUAAAAAUUGCUUUAGUAAUAAAAAAAAGUCCCACAUCGUUUUCUUUCGAAGUCAUUUUAGCGUUAUAAAACUAAAAUUUAAGACUUAAUUAAAAUAAUUGAU